rfam:Asian citrus Psyllid, Diaphorina citri - Florida Strain, whole genome shotgun sequence.
CGGCGCGGCUAAUAGCACGUUGAAUGACCAGUUUCCAAUGGCUCACUGAAGUUAAACAACGUUGCGCGUGGUUGGUCAUCUCUCCGGCGACCUUCUGGCAAUCGCGUGCUGCUAUGU